GCCCUUAUCGUCUAGUGGUUCAGGACACUAGGUUCUCAUCCUAGAAACCGGGGUUCGAUUCCCCGUGAGGGCGCCA
rnacentral:tRNA from 1 species